AGGACGAACGCUGGCGGCGUGCCUAACACAUGCAAGUCGAGCGGGGUUGAAGCGAGGGGUAACUCGAGUUUCUACCUAGCGGCGGACGGGUGAGUAACGCGUGGGCAACCUGCCUCAAGGACUGGGAUAACAGCUCGAAAGGGCUGCUAAUACCGGAUAAGCCUAUGGCCUCGCAUGGGGCCAUGAGCAAAGGGGAAACCCGCCUUGAGAUGGGCCCGCGUCCCAUCAGCUAGUUGGUGAGGUGAAGGCUCACCAAGGCGACGACGGGUAGCCGGCCUGAGAGGGUGACCGGCCACACUGGGACUGAGACACGGCCCAGACUCCUACGGGGGGCAGCAGUGGGGAAUCUUGCACAAUGGGCGAAAGCCUGAUGCAGCGACGCCGCGUGAGCGAAGAAGGCCUUCGGGUUGUAAAGCUCUGUCUGGAGGGACGAAGGAAGUGACGGUACCUCCGGAGGAAGCCACGGCUAACUACGUG
rnacentral:rRNA from 1 species